rnacentral:rRNA from 1 species
CUACGAGGACGAACGCUGGCGGUGUGCUUCACACAUGCAAGUCGAACGAGGUAGCAAUACCUAGUGGCGGACGGGUGAGUAACGCGUGGGAAUCUGCCUUUAGAUGGGGGAUAACGGGUCGAAAGACUCGCUAAUACCGCAUAUGACGAAAGUUGAAAGGAGUAAUCCGUCUAAAGAUGAGCCCGCGUCCGAUUAGCUAGUUGGUAGAGUAAAAGCCUACCAAGGCGACGAUCGGUAGCUGGUCUGAGAGGAUGAUCAGCCACAAUGGGACUGAGACACGGCCCAUACUCCUACGGGAGGCAGCAGUGGGGAAUUUUACGCAAUGGGCGAAAGCCUGACGUAGCGACACCGCGUGAGCGAAGAAGCCCCUUGGGGUGUAAAGCUCUGUCAGCUGGAACGAAAAAAAUGACGGUACCAGCAGAGGAAGCAUCGGCUAACUACGUG